rnacentral:rRNA from 1 species
UGGGGAAUAUUGGGCAAUGGGCGAAAGCCUGACCCAGCAACGCCGCGUGAAGUAUGAAGGCCUUCGGGUUGUAAACUUCUUUGAUCAGGGAAGAAACAAAUGACGGUACCUGAAAAACAAGCCACGGCUAACUACGUGCCAGCAGCCGCGGCAAUACGUAGGUGGCGAGCGUUAUCCGGAUUUACUGGGUGUAAAGGGCGUGCAGGCGGGCUGAUAAGUCAGAUGUGAAAUCCCCGAGCUUAACUCGGGAACUGCAUCUGAUACUGUUGGUCUUGAGUGCUGGAGAGGAUAGUGGAAUUCCUAGUGUAGCGGUAAAAUGCGCAGAUAUUAGGAGGAACACCAGUGGCGAAGGCGGCUAUCUGGACAGUAACUGACGCUGAGGCGCGAAAGCGUGGGUAGCAAACAGG